rnacentral:rRNA from 1 species
CCCCUGUGACAUACCACUUGUUGCCUCGGCGGAUCAGCCCGCUCCCGGUAAAACGGGACGGCCCGCCAGAGGACCCCUAAACUCUGUUUCUAUAUGUAACUUCUGAGUAAAACCAUAAAUAAAUCAAAACUUUCAACAACGGAUCUCUUGGUUCUGGCAUCGAUGAAGAACGCAGCAAAAUGCGAUAAGUAAUGUGAAUUGCAGAAUUCAGUGAAUCAUCGAAUCUUUGAACGCACAUUGCGCCCGCCAGUAUUCUGGCGGGCAUGCCUGUUCGAGCGUCAUUUCAACCCUCAAGCCCUCGGGUUUGGUGUUGGGGAUCGGCGAGCCCUUGCGGCAAGCCGGCCCCGAAAUCUAGUGGCGGUCUCGCUGCAGCCUCCAUUGCGUAGUAGUAAAACCCUCGCAACUGGAACGCGGCGCGGCCAAGCCGUUAAACCCCCAACUUCUGAAUGUUGACCUCGGAUCAGGUAGGAAUACCCGCUGAACUUAAGCAUAUCAAUAAGCGGAGGAA